GCCUGGUGGUUCCUACAGACAGCCGUUUCCAUGCUGAUCUGUAGGUUAGGAUUGACAGGCGCACAUUACCCCCUCUGUGAUUCUAUGCAUGGGAGCUGCCGUUCCCCAGCAGCCUCCAUAGCCCGGUCGCAGAGACAUUU